AUGGUGCCUUCACAAGUGACCUCUCUUGUGGUCACUCUCCUAGUGGCAAUAGUCUCUCUCACAUUGCCUUCAGAAACUUCAGCUAACUACCCUUACACCUCUCCACCACCACCGGCCUCUCCUCCCUACCAUUACAAGUCACCACCGCCUCCUUCUCCUUCUCCUCCAGUGCACUACUCACCACCUAAGCAUCCCUACCACCCUAAGUCACCACCACCUCCUGUGUACGCACCACCUAAGCAUCCCUACCACCCUAAGUCACCACCACCUCCUGUGUACCCACCACCUAAGCAUCCCUACCACCCCAAGUCACCACCACCAUCACCAAAGCCUUACCACUACAAAUCCCCACCACCACCUCCUGCUCCAGUGCACUCACCACCCCCACCUAAGGAGCCAUACCACUACAAGUCCCCACCACCACCACCCAAGAAGCCCUACCACUACAAAUCUCCCCCACCACCUCCUCCUCCAGUUCACUCACCACCACCACCCAAGGAGCCUUACCACUACAAAUCUCCACCACCACCACCCAAGAAACCUUACUAUUACAAGUCUCCUCCACCACCACCAAAGAAGCCUUACCACUACAUGUCUCCUCCCCCACCGGUGUACUCACCACCUCCACCAGUGCACUCACACCCACCACCAAAAAAGCCUUACCAUUACAAAUCUCCUCCCCCGCCAGAAUAUUCACCAGCUCCACCAGUGCACUCAACCCCACCACCAAAGAAGCCCUACCAUUACAAAUCCCCACCACCACCACCACCACACAAGAAGCCUUAUUACCCUGUUCACUCACCACCUCCACCUAAGAAGCCUUACCACUACAAAUCCCCACCACCACCUUCUCCUACUCCUCCUAAAUACUCACCACCUAAGCACCCCUACCACUACAAGUCUCCACCACCACCACCAAAGAAGCCUUACCAUUACAAGUCCCCACCACCUCCUUCUCCUACUCCCCCUAAAUACUCACCACCUAAGCACCCCUACCACUACAAGUCACCACCACCACCACCCCAAGAAGCCUUACCACUACAAGUCUCCACCACCACCACCUCCUCCAGUUCCCACACCAUCUCCACCCAAGAAACCUUACCACUACAAGUCUCCCCCACCACCCCCUCCAGUCUACAAGUCUCCUCCACCACCAGUUUACUCACCACCACCACCACCUAAGAAACCUUACAAGCCACCAACUCCUCCAGCAGUUCACCCACCACACGGUUACAUCUAUUCCUCACCCCCACCUCCUCACCACUACUAGAUAUUGAAAGUUUAAUUGCAUCAAGCUGGUAAGCUUCUCCAUUCUAUGCUAUUAUUCAUUAAUUAGUUAGUACUACUGUUGUCAAUUUGGAAAUCACCAUACAACCAAAUGCACACUCUGACGAAAUAACAUAUAAAUUCUAAUUGAAUAGUCUUUAUUUCCAUUUUUGGCUAAUAAUCCUUAUUAGCAUAUGGAUAAUGUAUUUCCAACAUAUCGUUAUUAACUUAUUACUCAAUUAAUAUUUCUUUUUCUUUAAAUUCAGUAGCCGUGUGUAACAAAUAGACCAAUGGCAGAGACCCAACAAAUAACAAUAAUAUGUCUUUGCAGGUAAGGGAAGAAGAAAGGUCAGAAUAAAGAGGGGCUGUUGAAGUCGAACAGCGCGCCUUAUUACCACACAAAGAAGAAGAGAGAGAAAAAAACGAGUCUCCACGCAGCUGCUGAUGUGACGUGUUUUAUGUAUGCGAUAUUCGAUAGAGGUUCAUAUUUUCCUUGGAAUAUUAGACAGUUGUAGGGCACUCAUGUUCCAUGUAUUUUAUUUCCUGUUUCUCAAAAGAGAUGGUAUAUGUAUGUUGUUUGUUUCAACCUUCUAAUGGAGAGGUGAUCAUCAUAAUAAUAAAAUAAAUACAUUCCCCAAAUUUUACUUAAUUUCUCAUAUAUCUGAUAUGUUUUACUCUCUUAAUUAAAGUUUCCUAAUAAUGUUAUAAAAACCACGUAUAUCACAUUGGUGUACCAUUUAUUCUCACAAGUAAUGUCACGUCAAUUAAUGAGUUUAUCUCAUUGAAUAGUAAUUGACUUGCUUACAUUAUAUGGUAAUAAUGUGGUGUAAAUAUGUCGCAUCGUCCUUAACAUCACUCUAAAUUUCUUGGUAAUAAUAUAUGCGAGCAGUGUUAACAAAUCAAAGGAUGAGAAAGAAGAAAAACUAUUUGCAAAUUCUUAUUCUUAAUAUUUCAUAAACACAAAAUAAAGAAGACUAUGAAUUGUUCAAAUGCAUACUAAGUGAUCUAUUUUGGCAAAUCAUCUUAGUAUUGUAUUAUUUUCUUCAAUUAAGUGAUCUAUUUUUUUUCAAUUUGUUUUCCAUAUUUCAUGGCUUAAAUUUGUGAUUACUUUUUCAACAUAAAUGUCAAAUACUUUUUCUAAAAGUUAAUGUUGUCUAUUAUUUAUCCGUUGCUGGGAAAAAAAGUUAAAGUGGUAAUCUUAUUGAUAAAACUUAGUUCACUACACUAUAUAUACAAUUGUCUUCCGGUAGACCAUCAUGGAUAAAAAAUCAAAAGGAUUAUCGAAACCCCAAAAAAUUCUCACUAGUAGAAAGAUUGUUCAAAUUCUACAAUGAACCACAAGAAGUCUAACUCACUUGGUCAUUGCUGAUUGACUAUCAUUACUAGGUUAAAGCAACAUUUUAAGUUUUAACCUAAAUAGGAUCUCAACAAGCUAGGGUUUGAGAUUAGUGUUUUAGGUGACGACAGAGCUCUUUCCUUUCUUUAUGUUAUCCAAACUCUUUUUCUUUUUUCAUUUUUAUCAAGAAACUGUAGGUCUCAAUCAAAUUUAUGGAUUAUGGAUUUUAGUUAUGUAUUCUUAGUGUGGAAAUUUGACUAUAAAAUACGUUGACACUUGUCCUUUAAACUAAUGCAACCGAACAAACUUGUAGUUAACAAUUUUAUUAAGAGAGAUUAUAUUCACACACUUCAAAUUACUUAUGUCACACCUUUCUAAUUUUUUAAUAUUUUCUACACACCACUAACACUUGAAAGAAAAAAUAUUAAAAAAAUUAAAAGAGUGUGGGGCAAGUAAUUUGGGGUGUGUGAAUAUAAUCUCUCUUUCAUUAAAUCAUAACAUGGUGGAGUGAGUAAGUGAUGAGGAAAGACAAUUACGUCGCUCAUAUGCAAAUGAGUGGACAAACCUUCCAAUGGAUGCAACGGUGGUCAUGAAUUAUGAUUGUGUGUAGGGUUUCGAGUUACCGACGUUGACUGUCAUGCAAAUUGAGUACGUAGCCACUUACACUUAAUGGCAGAGGUCGAUGAUUUGCGCUACGGAAAAUGGUUUGAUUUGCUUAUACCAAUUACCAAACAAAGCAAAUAUAUUCGUCCUUUUGGUUUGGUUGUCAACUGUCAAGUAUGCGUUAGAAUUUUUUAAUUUGGGUUAAAUAAAAUAAAAAAACAAUACUCAAAACUUUUUGGGGAUGAGAUCUGAGAAAUUUAAUUUUUUCCCUUCAUAUAUUAGGGAUGAAAGUUGACUUAAUCACACACAAUGGAUCAUACCAACAAUAAUUUAGUAUCGAAUUCAUCAUUCAUGAAAAUCAUAUUUGAGCCUAAAUAAAAAUAAGCAUGUUAUGGGGUCAAUCUACUUUUAUUUACAGAAAGUUGCACGACUCAGGCCCACCAACUUCAAAGCCUAAUUCAAGAUCAUAUCACAAAGCUUGGGCGACCUUUUUGUCCCCCUCCUAGCUAUUCGAGGGCUUGGGUAGAUCUCUCUAUGAAGUGCGUCCACCACGCAGAUGACCAGACCCGGGAAUAUCUCGCCUCCUUAAAUGUUGAUGUACGCAUCAUCUAACAUGCUAAUGUCACCAUUGCAAUUAUGAAAACGGCCAUGAAAUACAGUUUAAGGCCACCAACCAGAAAUUAUAGUCAAUGUCAACUCACCGAUCUACCCAUGCUCCAUCUUAGCCAUGAGAUCGAGGUUGCUCUUGCUUCAUUGCCUAUAAAUAGAGUGGGAAACCUUCAAACUUAGGACCUUCGUCUGAUCCAAUCUCUACAAUUAUAUAAAACCUCGAUUGAUUCUUCAAUCAACCCAACUUCUUUCAAAGUACAAUCCAAUUGCUCUUCAACUACAAUCACAAAGCCUUCGUUAAAAGCAAACAUUGCCUAUGUCCCUGAGAUCUUAAACUUUUACAGCUUUUCCAACCCGUGGUAUGAUUCGGUUGAUGUGUCAAUCCAACCACCCUGAUUUCCUCUUAGAGGCACAUGUUUUGGACUAAGUCCAAUUUGAUACCAGAGACCUCAGUGGACUCCUCUAGCAUUAUCUAUCCCUUCAUGGCCUAAAUCUUGUAAGAGUUUUUACAGCUUUCUUUACAAUUUUACUCAAUUUUCAUUUCAAGUCAUGUAGCUCGGCCCAUCGGCCAAGAUUUUACUUUUAUAUAAUGCUUGUAAUGUUGACUUCAUUAUGAAAUAAUUACAUUUUGUUCAUCACAUUAUUUUCCAUUUUCCUUUUUCAUGUUUUAGGCAAAAACACAAAAAAGUUACAUUGAAUUUUAAGUCCUCAUUCACUCAAGGCAUAGAAAAAAACUUAAACGAACUAGCGUCUCAUUCAAUGCACAACAAUUGGUUAAGAAGUCAGAUCUUUGCGCAACUUUCACACACAUCCAAAUACAAAGAUUGUCUGUUGACAGCCUCCAACAAUAGCACACCCAUUCUCUCAUUUUCUCGAGCCACCUCGUGACAUUGAUAUAAAAAAUAACACUCGGGGAAAAUAAAAGUUACAGUAGUAGUGAAAGAAAUUUAGUUGUUGUAAUAACUGAAUUUUGAAGGGCAUAUUAAGUAAUAAAAAUUAUGAGCAGAUAGUAUUUGCCCCAUUUGGCCUAGUGUCGACCAAAAAUGUACCUUCACCUAGAAAAGGAUUGUAGAAAGUGAAGUUAGUUCAAUAAUUGUCCUCUUUUUUGUUUUCUUUUUCGAUAUUUUAAGUGCUAUAUUGAGACUUUGGGGGCUUUUUUUUCCCAAAGCUCUGGCCUAUUCCGCGAAGAACUGAGAUUGAAUGGAGACUUUAUCAUUCUCACUAAUAUUAUAAGAAAAAUUGCACAAUACCAUUGUAUUAUUAAUUUGAGACAAUGGUAUUAAUUAUAGACAUUACAAUAGUGUCAAGAAUAAUGCAAAUAACUCAUUCUCCUUUGUUUAUUAGGUCGAAUUUCACUAGCUACAAAUAAGUUUAGCGGGGUGUAAGGAUGGAGACUUUAUCAUUCUCACUUAUAAAUCAUCAUAUAUUUAGGUGUGGGGUAAGGGGUUGGGGUAGAUUAGGUCCCAGGUUCGAGGCCUGGUGGGGUGGGGUGGGGUUGAAAAAAAAAAUCAUAUAUUUAGGUGUGGGUUUGGAAGGUAGACUUGAUUCCGCGGUGUUUUGAGGAGGAGGAGGGCAAUCUUAUUCUUGGUUUACCAAUAAGUUUAGCAGGGUGUAAGGAUAGAGUCAUAUGGCACUAUUCAAGAAAAGUUGCAAAACCACUAAAACUUUAUUUUAAGAGUCAAAUCUACUAAAUUCUUCUCCAAGAGACUUGAUAAAGGACUCUAUAUAAUAGCAAGUUGCUCUUUAAAUUUAUAAGUAAUGCCUAAUGGGGCUUUUAAGAAAAUAUUAAUAUUUAAAAAAAAAGUAUUAAUUUUUGUUUUAGACAUUGUAUAAGGAAAAUGAUAAGCAUACAUCCUUUUUAGCCUCGAUCAACACUUAUAUUUAAUCUUGUUCAUUAUUUUUGUUUGAUUUAUACAAUGCGAUGGUCAAAAAAAUAAAUAAAAAAUAUGUUUGAGAAGUUAAAAAUGAUGUGUGAAAAUCACCUGCCAAUAAACAAAUCUAUUAUUAAAACUAAUACAAACUUUAAAACUAAAACUCAUGAUCAAUUAAGAAACGCUCAAGUCAAAUUCAUAAUAGCCAUAAAACAUAAAACACCUAAAUUUACUAUGCCAAUUCAAUCAACAAUCGUAUUAUAAAUAUGUUAAAUCCUUACAUGAAUGGAAUUGUUAGCCCAUCAAUCCAAGUAAUUGAAUGAUCUUUGGAGAUUUACUUAAGAGCAGUAUUAAUAUGAAUUAUGAACUUAUGAGAGAGAAAUAAUCUAUUAUUCUUUUCUCUAUUAGGCUAUAUUAUAUUUAUUUUGUUAUUGAAGAAAUUAUAUAUUGUAUAAUAUUUCCAUGGGGUGCAAAAACAUCGGGGCGCCUUUUUUUAGUUGGGGACCUUGUGCAAUGUCUUAUAUUCCUCCCCUUCAAUCCGGCACUGACAGGAAGGGAGAGAACGAUUUAAAAAAUGAACGGGUUGAAUUUGAAUUGAUAAUAAUUAGUAAAUUAUUUAAACUUUGUUAAAUAGAAAAUAUUGUUGAAAAUGAAAAGUUAAACUGAGUAAUUAAAAUAGUUUUUUUGACACUUUUCACUUGCUUGUUUAACAAAAAUUUAGAGCUUGUCUUUGAGAUACUCUUACUCCUUUAUUUAAAGGACUCGGCUUUUCUAUUAUAGCUGUCGUAUUCAAUAUUGUUGCAAUUAAUGAACUUAAAUCAUUUCGUUAUGACCAAAUUAAGAUAAUCAUGGACAUGUAGAUUAGGUAGCUAAUUCUGAUUUUGACUCGAUCACAUCAAGGUUAUCGUAAUUAAUGUCGGUUAAUUUAAUAUGCGUCUCUGAUCUGAUUACAUUACCAUGGUACGUAAACAUGUGUAUCCAUCUGCAAGACUCAAGAUUUAUAAUUUUGUUUUGUUUACUGUUUUUACGAAGAUAUUUAUGAUUUGAUUUUAUAAUAAAUUUUUUUUUAAAAAAAAAAUCAGAGCAAAACUGCAUCAUGGCCAACAAUCCAGCCAGAUUCAGUUCAACUAUAAUUUUGGCCAAUUUUUCAAAGCUGAUGGAUGUUAGUAGAUUUGUGUGGGGAACACUGAAAAGGCUAGAUUAUGAAAUACCAGAAAAGUAUUGACAUUUCAAUUGCUUAAACCAACCAUGAUGAAGAGUUCUAUGAAUUAUUUUUCAAAAUUUGAUUAAAUUGUGUCAUCCAGAUUAACGAACAUUGUUUCAUUGAAAUUAGUUCAUCAAGAUUGCGUAACUGGGAUAGCUUUCACACUGUAUUAACAUACAAAGAGGCUCUACUUCGUUAGAGUGUUCAAACUGUACACGUAAUUUGACUGCCGUACACAUUUUUCUUAUAUCUCUCCAAUCAACUUUAUUUUUCCUUUUGAAUAAAUUAAAGAUAAAGAAAGAAAACCAUUUUGCCUUAAAUGGCAAGAGAUUGAUGAAAAUCUACUCUAAAGAAGGGACAGGAUAUAUAUAAAUUAAAAUUCAUCAUGUACAAAGUAAGCGUAGGACAUUUUCAUCAUUUUACUUUGUCGUGCCCAUAAUUCUUUGCUCUAUAUAUUUUAUCUUUGUUGGUGGUCGAUGCUUUGGUUGGCUGUCAAUUGCGACGGACUGUCGUAAAAAUUGUCGGCAACCAACCAUGUGUUCUUGCAUGCCCGAUGUUCUCGCCACCUCACGUGGAAAUUUCCAAUGGAAUGGAGGGCCAAAUUUCAGUUUUUAUAUCAAUUUGUUUAUGUUAAAAUUUUCUUGUAAUAUAAGUCAAUGGUUGAAUUUGCAGUAGAAACAAACAAAAUAUGUGGACGAAUUUGAUAAAGUACAAGAAAAAAAAAACUGCAACUUAAGUAGAUGACGUGAUUCUUCACCCGGACAACAAGGAAGAAGACAUGAAAUCGGGAACACUGGAUGACGAAGUACACAAAUUAAACUUAUCUAAUCCAUUUUAAUAAAUUGUUACAGGGUGGCCAGUGGUCGGGAAUAAAUCACAGACUCGCAUUUCAGAUACCUCACGAACUUGAUUUUUGUUACUAACAAAUCACAUGAAGGUGACCAAGAGAAGGUUGAAAUGUCAUUGUGAGACGUCUUUCUUACCCUCGAAAGAUGAACUACCGUAAUGAAGCCACCAACUCAUCUUUUUAAAGGAAAGAAAAUCUAAGCCGUCCUAAUACAUGUUGUCACUCAUGGGAAUUAGAGAAGAAAUAUUCGUUAGCCACUUACAGUUGGAUGCUUAUUAUAUUAACUAGUUACAAAGUCAAAGGUUUUUCAUUGAAUGGAAUCAUAAGAUGUAAACAUCUAGGAUUAAUAUUUGGAAAAUAAUUAAACUCAAUCCCACCGCGUAGUUCUGUAACAAGUUUAUAUGUCUAAUAGAGUUUAUAGAUCUAAUAGUUAGUUAAGAGUAUUCAUUCUUACUCUUGAAGUUUUUUUGUUGACACUCUCUCUUUUAACCAUUUCUUGUAAUCAUUACAAGAAUUUGGAUUCUUUUAAUCCUAGGAGUGCAAUACUAAUUCUUAAUCUUUGUGUUAACCAUAAUAUCAUGACACAUAUCACCAAGUAUGAUCAGCAACUAGGAGAACGAGAGAAGAUGCGUGACUUAAGAAAAUUGAUGUGAUUUUGGAUUUUUUUUUACUUUAUGCACGCCCGCUCUUUAAAAAAAAAGAAAAAAGAUAUGUGAAAGGUGAAAAACAGUUGUUUCCGACAAACAUAAUUCACUUUCUAUAUGUGUACUUUGUAUUUUUUUUCAUCAAGUAAGGAAAUGGUGAAAAGAAAAAUGUACAUUAAUCGUAUCAUAUGAUAUAUUGUUCUUCUCAAGACAACUAAGAAGCUAAACUUAAUGUCAGAGAUUAAGACGUUUUGUUGGCUUGUCAUUCAAGGAAAGCUUAAUACAUAUAAUAUAGAGUUGGGAAGGUUAAUUUGUCCGUAUCUUGUGUAAAACAUGAUCUGGAUUUCAAACCCCCUAGACUUUUUGUUGUCCUACUCACGCAGCCCAUUCCCAAGUUCCAACCCUCCCAACAACCCUAUCCAGGAAGGCCAGCGCAGAUGUUAAGGCUGUGACCAGGGUUGUAAUACCAUCUCCAAUGGAUAAGUCAAAUCAUAAGUGGAAUGUCGCAUAAUUAAAUUUAAAAGUAAAAAAGAAGUUCCAACCGAUAGUUUUUCCGGAUCCUGAAAGAGUGGAUAACCGUGACUUAUCACCACUUGUCUUAUUUUUCGAAGAAAAAAAAAUGUCAAUCCUAUGUGAAUUAACAUGAGUUUUUGGUAUCAAAAUUGACAUGAAAAAUGUGUUGGCAAUUAAUUCUUUAGUGAUUUUAUUGUGCGGGUUUUAUUAAUGGACCAAUUCUAAAGCUUAAAAAUUAUUUUAAUUGAUUUCUUUUUCAUAAUGAACCUACGGAUAUUAAUUAUAAAUUUGACAUUACCACAUCAAUCGUUAAAAUUAACAUUUGACAUUCAUUUUUUGACUUUUCCAUUGAAGAUGUUCCAAUUAGCUUCAAAUGCCUUCGAGUUGAACUCAUGUUUGGGUCGUUUUAGGCAUGUUCAAUCUCUACUUGCAAGUAAAAGGAGUCGGGCACGAACAUAAUAUUCAGUUCGAUACAAAGAUGAGAUAGAAUUUUAGUAUGAUCAAAAGCUCGUAAAACUCUUAACAUCCCAUAUCAUUUUAUAUUGGACAUGCAAUCAUUUGAAAGUAUAGAGCUAUGCUUAAGCACAAAUUAUAUCAUUUGAACCAAGCACCUGGUACUUGGCGCGACUCAUCAACGCAGCUCUUGCAUUUUGUCCUUUGAUUUCUUCAAUAUAAAACCAUAAAUAAAUAGAAAUGUGCAAGAUAAGACGAGUCUGAUAAGAUUUCAAUAGAAGUGUUCCAUACGAACACUGUGCCAAGCACUUUUCAGCUGUUGGAUCGACGGAAUUUUACCACUGCUAGGCUAACAAUAUAAUUUCCGUUCGAUCUCUUUCAUAAACGAAACACUAAAACAUGAAUCGAUUUAUCAAUCACCCGAUUAACAUACUCCAAGAAACAGGAAAACAAUCAGUCACAAAUUACUCGCAAAUCGCAAUUAAAACGAAAGAAAUUGAGAAAUCCGGACUAGGCUACAAGCACGUCAAGUCAAGAUCGGCAAAACAUUUAAUAAAACACCAAAUCUGUCAUAUUUUCUGACCUUCCAAAUAUUCAAGUCCAUAACAGAAUGAACAAGCUGAAAACAGCAGAUGAAAUAUGCACAAAGGGAUACACCAAACGUACCUCCAUCGCGAGAAAGAUACACUGCGUUUUGUGAUCGCAUCUACACCAAGCGCUUCGUCCGACAAAACCAUCACUACACAUAUAGGUAUAGAAAAUAUCUAGCAUAGCGUCUUCAUCUCAUUUCUCAAACAGACAAUAUUAUACAAUGACAUUCAACUGGGUGUUUGCUUCGAUGAGUUCUACAACAGACAGGAAAUCAGAUCAUCAAGCACUAAUCACUAAUGACAUCGUCUCUUGAGCAAUCUCUCUAAUUUUCUCUUUCCUUGAGUGUACAGUAUAACCUCUAUAUUCAUAUGAGAAACAAACGAAAAAAACAAAGCCUCAUCCAUAUCCCAAACACCUAAAAAUGAGCCGGUCAGAAUGUUGCAAAAAGAGAAGUUUCGGGUAUUUCAGAAAUUUUCUGAGUCGUGUCAUAACUCUCAAGUGCCAUUGGAGGGUUCUGAAAUUUCCUGAGAUUUCAUGCAUUUAGUUCAGUGUGGGGCUGAGAGCCUGAUAGAACAAGGGAGAACCAAACAUCAAGAAAGACGAGAGAGAGUGUCCUACCUGGACUUCUUGGAGGAGAGAUUCAAGUUGAGCUGUUAUAUCGGAGAAGGAAGGCCGAUUGGAAGGAACUGAAUCCCAGCAACUCUGCAUUAAUUCCAAAACCUUGGGGUGUCCAUUAUUCGGAAUUUCCGGUCUCAGCCCCUGGGAAAUAGAAUGUCAAACAAAACAUAACUAUUUAGGCACAAAAGAAUUUGGAUAAAAUACUACGCUGAGUGAACAGCCAAACCAGUUGGUAUGUACCAUUGUACAUGAUUUCAGAGGCAUAAUUUAUACUUAUUUAUAUUAUAAGCAACAAAAAUGUCAUCAGAAGAUACAGAAAUUUGUUAUUCACUAAGUUUUACCCUUUUCUUGCGUUUAUAAAAUAUAUGCCUGCUUUGUAACAGCUUUUUUUAGUUUGAAUGGGAGGAUAUUCAGACCACAGGGUUACAAACAUAAACUCAGGCACGUCAUCAAUUCAAACUUUAAUUCGACAUGUAGAAUUGUCAACAUCUGUAAGAUACACACAUGGCAGGCAACAGGACGAAACACCAUAGAGGAAAAUUUAUAAUCAAGUUGCAUGAACUGUGGAUUAACAGGAUUUCUUAAGCAGCAAAUACAAUGCGGGCUAUAGAAAACACGUCUUCAUUCAUCAAUAUUCAAUACACAGACGAACAGAUAUAAAUAAUACAUAUGUAUUAUAAAUGGAUAUACGAAUAAACAAUAAACCUGUCUAACUCCCAAGGCAGCUUGCAAUGGAGUCAUGGUAUCAUAUGGAACCUGCAAUACAAAAUCAUACGAGUUUGAAAAUAAAUAAAUAAAAAAAUCUUAAGAAGUUUGAUAAUGUCCACAUCCAAAAUUCCCAAUACACAGAGGAAGCAUACUUUGGCUGUUACUAGCUCCCAAAGUACAAUUGCGAAACUGAACACAUCUGCUUUCUGAUCAUAUGGUUGAUGGUUGAUAACCUUGCAAAAUACAAGAAACCAAUAAGAUAUUGAAAUAAGAAUGUAAAUCAAUGUCGUCAAACUACGGUGCAUCUGCUAUGGUAAUGACGCAGUAACAAAACCAGAAUGUUGACAUCCAAAAUGCAAUUAACAAAACAGGAAAUUCAAUGAACCAUAGCCUGCUUGCCAAAACAAAGGGAUAUUGAUAAUUGUUUAUGAUAAACUAAUCAAUCCAUAGAUCACAACAAAGGACCAAUUUGUGAACCAAGUCCAACGGUUUAAGAGUUGACAAUAAUUUUCACGAAGAGACAAAGCAGGAAAAAAAAAGCAGAGGAAAAUAUUGAACCAGAAGAAUCGGACCUCAGGUGCCAUCCAUCGAUAGGUUCCAGUCUCUGCUGUCAUUACUCCCUCUUGAUUCUGAAACCGAGCAACACCAAAAUCUGCCACCUUUACAACCUGAAGGCAAACAAGAAAAUGAUUUUCAACUGUAAAAGAAAAGAAAAACCUAUUUGUUUUUCCUAAACAGAAAAAUAGAAUAGCCAGGAUGUGAGAGGAGAUUUCAACCAUUUAUACUUGGAAAUCUAACCAGGAAACAGUUUACCCAUUAUCAUAAACAAAUAAUGCUGUGUUUAGCUUUGAACUUUACUUAUAGUUAUUAAAAAAUAUAAAUAUACUUGUCGAAAGUAGAAUUGCAUUACCCCACAUCUUUAAACACAAAUCUAACUUCAUCAUUCAUGACAUCCUGAAAGUAUCAAAUUCACCAUCGACAAAAACUCAGAAGACAUCAAUUCCAGUAUGUCCAUGAGAAUUUUGGUCGAAUUGAACUUUUGACAUGCAGAUAUACUUCUCCCAUAAUCAAACUUCAUACCUCAAAGCACAACGCACAAUUACCCCAUACAAAACAAUAGACGGUUUGGUUACUCAAGUCCAAUAACUACAACUUAUAUCAACUAAAGCAGCAAUAGAUCCACUGAAGACAUUAGCCCUUUUAAAAAAAUUACAAACAAAUCUAUUGAACUUUAUCGUUUUCCUGUCGCCUAAGUUAAGCUGUAUAUGUACAAUGACAAAUUAAAUCAAUAGAGUUAUCAUGAAUAUGCGUAGGUUACAUUUUGCAGAAAGUGAAGCUGCCAAACAAGCAAACAAUAACCUUUAAUUCUUACAUUGUUAGUGUCCAUUAGCAGAUUUGCCGUCUUUAGAUCCCUAUGAAUUAUGUUAUUAUGAUGCAAAUACUCCAUUCCUUUACAGACAUCAAUUGCAAACUUUAGCAGUUCUGAAAGCUUCAAGAUGUUAUGAUUCUUAUGCAAAUAAUCGUAAAGACUUCCACCGGGCAUAUACUCUGCAAAAAAUAAAAAACAAAUGAAUUUUCAUAAUUAUGGUAAUAGUACAAUACAGCAACAAGUCGGCACUGGACUAAUUAUACUCAUCUCAAACUACAAACAGAUCUAAACAGUAAAGUUUUACAUAAAGAAAUCAAGAUGAAAUCAACAAUAAAGCUCUAACCAUAAAAAGAUACCCUGCCAAAUACUAUCCCAAAAUUCUCAAGAAACAACAUCCAAAGGUAAUCCCAAAACAAAAUCUAUCCCACGAAUGAUUACAUCCUUCAACUCCUAACCUACAUGAAGCUUCAUAAUACGCACCAAGUUGCCAAAGGCUGGCUGAUUGACAAAUUACAUAUAAUAGGGAAUUCCAAUAUGCACGACAUCCAAACAGCUUAGAGGAAUUUAAAAUAUAUAACACACAAGUAAAAUCUUCCUAAAUGCUGCAUACUCAGAGAAGAAGUACUAGCGCAUCCAAAACUUAAAAGAGUAUAAAUAAUGUGUAAGUAUGUUCCAACAACAACAACAAGGCAUUUUCCCACUAAGUAGGGUAGGCUAUAUGAAUCCUAGAACGCCAUUGCGCUCGGUUCUGUGUCACAUCUUCUGUUAGAUCCAAGUACUCUUAAGUCUUUUCUUAUAGUCUGUUCCAAAGCCUUCCUAGGUCUUACUCUACCCCUUCGGCCUUAAACCUCUGUCCUGUAAUCGCAUCUAGUGUAAGUAUGUUCCAAGAAAGAUAUUUUUAGUUCCAUUAAUACUUCUCCUGAUCCUAAUAAAAAUUUUCAAAAAGAUAGAAUGAAAACUUUGGUUGGCUACACCUAUAUUGGUGGAAACCAUCCGAUGUCAUUGAUUUUUUGUAGAAUGAUAUCCUUUGGUCCAUAAAAGAUAUUUUAUGAGAUCCGUUUUGGCGAAUGGUAAAAGGGGAUAGCUUUUAAGAAGGGAAAUGUGAGUGUGUUGGGGUGGAUUUUCUCCCUUUUUAUGUUCCUUGUAAAAGAAUAUACUAUGCUUCACUAACAAAAUUAAAAAGUAAAAAAGAAAACUUAUAAACAAUCUGAUGCUUAUUCUUACUUUUCUUAGUUGCACUGCUUCUAAAAACAUCUCCACAUGUAAGAUUCUGAUACAGAAUGAACAAAACCUCGAAAGAAGCUAACUUAACAAAUAUAGUAAAUGUUGGAGGCAACCAACAGGAGAGUUCCAUACCUGUCACUAUGCACAAAUGUGGAGACUUUGUACAUGCACCGAUAAAGCGCACAACAUUACUAUGAUGGACCUCUCUGCAAUCAUAAAACAAAUAUAAUAUAUAUCAGUAUUGCUUAAUAGCAAUACGCAUGCCAACAUAACCUAUAAAAUGGAACAACAGUUUUCUUUUCCCUUGAAUAAGAGACAAUUUAUUAGUAAAGAAUAAGAUACAGAGAAGACACUAUGAAAAACUAGAAACAGCAAAAGGUGGAACCUAGCCAUGAAUUUUAACUGCCUAGAUGUGUGAAAUGCAGCAUGGGCUAGCUGCAUUUUACUUAACUAUCAGAAAAUUCAUUCACUUUAUGGGUUUCAAGAAUAGUUACAGCUAAUAUACCACAAAAUGAAAGACUAGCUGCAUUAAAUGUGAUUUUUUAAAUGACACAAUAAGACAUGUUUCUUGGUUCCAUUUGUAAUUACAUUUGGCAUAUUCUUCCAAAGCCUCGUCGAAAUAAAGACCAGCAACCUGGAUAUUCAACCAGCAAUCCUGGAUAUUCAACCAGCAAAUCCAGAAAACGUGAAGCAUUCUCUUGUCAUUCCCAGAGAUUAUAGGAAUUGUUCUUGUACAGGCUAGUAUAGAAGUUCAUUAUGGAGGAUGUUGGAAAAUAAUGGAAAAAUCUUUAAAAGUUUACAAGUGGAGAAGAGCUCUCAAUAGAAAUGAUAAGAGUGAUUUCAUAUGAACUCCCCAGCAGGGACCAGCCUAGAUUAAAAGAAGAUAAAGAUAGAAAAUUAUUCACCUUAAAAUUGCCACUUCUUGAGCAAACUCAUCCUCUAGAGCAUCAUUCAAAUGUUCAGAUCUCAAAAUCUUAACAGCAACAUCUUGACCAAGAUAAAUUCCACGAUACCUGAGAAUGAACAGUAAUAUAAAGUUAAGCAGCAGAGAAGACUAUAAACGAAUAAAGGAAUGCCAAAAAUAAAACAUAUCUUACAAAUCUCCACAUGACCCAGAUGCAAUUCUGUCUCCGAUCAUUAAUAAUCUUCGGUCUAUUUCCCAGAGUCCUGUCUUUUCUUUCACCGAUAAUUCUUUCUCCACAGCCGAAUGAGAAUGUGAAGAUCUUGACCAUGACCCCUAAAUUACCAAACAACAGAUACGUAUUACUAUCUUAUAAUUCUUCGAUUAUUUUAGCAUUGUGACGCAAUAUACCUCACUUCUAGCAAUUGCCUUUUCCAUAGCUUCAUACAGACCAUCUGUAUCCUGACCACAACAUUGCAAAGUCAGCAACAUUUGAACUCAGCACAGUUGUCAUAAAAUUAAUAUAAUCACAAUUCCCCUUAAUGUAUUCUGAAGACAUUUUCUUGGAGGAACUGUAGCUUUUUCGACUUGUCCAAUUUGAUAAAACCCAAUAUUUAUAACAAACAUAUUGGGAUGCAUUAGAUCCAAUAAUUGUAGCAAUGCCAUAUUACAGCCCAGAGAUAAACACUGACUAAAAAGCGUUCAUCCAUGCAUAAAAAGAGAAAGCACAUAAACAGCUUGCAGUAUAGCAAAAUCCAUAGCCAACAAAAAUAAGCAUAUUGUAGUAGCAAUGUACCACAUAUUUUAAGAAAGGCCAUCCAACGUUUCGUGUAUUGGAAAUUACUCAUUUAUAAUAUAAUAACAUGCAAAAUUUCAAGAUUCAAAACUCUGACAGUAGAAAGUAAUCUGUGAAUGACGAUAAACACAUUAUAUAGUAAAAGAAAACUACCUCAACAGGCCAUCCAUCUACCACAAAUACAUCUAAAGAGUAGCCAUCGCUCGUCGAGAAGACAUGUGCUUCACGGAUGUUAAGUUCCAAAUCCGAAAGCAAGGAAGAAAGCUACAGAAUGAUGACAUAAGUUAGAAAGAUGCGACCACAGUAUGGUUACACUUCUGCAGUUAUCUUGGAUUCUACAACAUAAACAAUGCAUAUAAUAUGUAUCAAAUGUACUGAAUAGUCCAUUGCUACCUUUAAAUUCAUUUUCCAAUUGAAUUUGAAGGCUAUAGAUUUUCAACUUUAUAUUAAUGAAAGAAAUCAUAAUGAAAAAGAACUCUUCCAAUACAACGUCUUCUCACAAUUAUAUUUAAUACCCAAGCUUACUGCAUUGAGGUGCCAGCGUGUGAGGUCUAGACACUAGAGUUGACACAAAACAUCAGAUGGAGAACCAUAAAACAUGAAUGACGGACCAUCACAGUGUCACAUGAAAACAAAGAUAGUUGCUUGAGUUAUAAACAUUAGGUAUUGAACACACAUUCAUAUUAGUGAGUACCAAGAGAACUGCUUAAGUGGAGACAGAGUAUUACAGGAUAAUGAAGCUAUCAAAUGAUGUCAAAUUUCAAUACCCUUUAACAUUGAAGAAAUUAUGUACAUGUGGACACUAAAACUACAGAAAUACUAUCACUUGAUGCUAUUCAAUCAGAUGAUCCUUUUGAUUAUUAAUUGAAAAAAGGAAUGCUGAAUCCAACUUCAUGAUCCAGAAUGUAAGUGCAAUAUCAGAUAAGUUUGUCCACUAUCCUAUCAUACUAAUCUUAUAUGACCCCUUUGAGAUAUAACUCGUUGAACAGUUGAACUUAGUUUACCAAAUAGACCUUCAGCUUUAAUUUGCAAACACGUAAGGGAACAAUCAGCAGAUUUUCGGGCUUCAAACUCUGAUUUCUUUUCAGAUUCUAAGAAUAUUUUGAAACUGAGAUCGAGGUAAACUCCAGGUGGUAAUACCAAACUUGACAACAAACGAAUAAAUUAAACCUUCUCAGUCAUACCUGGCUAAGAAGCUUAGGCUUGUCAAUAGUUGAAAAUAUUACUUCAUGAAUGGGAACAUGUGGUAUAUCUUGCCUGCGUUAUACAGCCCAAUGGUCAAUAUCAUUUCUGCAUAAUUAUACAUGUUUUUUCUUUAAAUGAGAAACAAAGUUUUACUAAAGAUACUCAAAAACACAGUACAAGACUCUGAACAAACUGGUCCACCAACAAAAUGAUUCAACUAAUGAAAAACAAAUCUGAAUUACACCUAUGACAAUGUAAUGGAACUUUCAAAAUUACCCUAUAAGAGCUUCCCAAUCUAAUAAGAUGUUAGAAAUUGGUAGAUCCCUAAAGGGUGGAGAAAAACAAGCUGAUAAGCAUAAAUGUGAUCUCUCAAAUAUACGGGCACAGUUCAUAUAAAAACUGCACAAUUAAAAUAUAAAGUAUAUGAAAAAGACCCGGAUAAAGGAGGAGGGGGAGGGCGUCAGGUAGUCGACAGCCGGCACUCCAUGAUCACGUCGAAUCCUUAUGAAAAUGAAUCCAGAACAAAAUCGCGCUAAAGCUAGGGCGUCACCCGUAAGUGGCGCGCUGUGUGGCCUGAGCACAGUGAUAAGUGAGCAAGGGUCGCUGUAUCUCCAUCGGCACCCGGAUGCAGUGUUAAAUGAGCAAGGGGGCCAUAGAAACUUCUUUUCGAACGACUCCACUCAAAGUUGUUUGGGAGCAUAUGCUCCUAUCAACUUUACCCGGGACACACAAAAGAAGUACUUUGAUCCUAUUAGACGGGGGAGGGUGAAGAAGCUAGGACAGAAGGGUAGAGUUCAAGAGAGCAAAAUGCGUUUAGGAACGUGGAAUAUAGGAACCUUAACGGGAAAAUCUAUGGAAGUAGUGGAAGUUAUGGUGAGGAGAAGGAUAAAUAUUAUGUGCCUACAAGAAACUAAGUGGGUUGGUAGUAAGGCAAAGGAUCUAGAAAACUCAGGGUUUAAACUUUGGUAUUCGGCACAAAUAGAACGAGAAACGGUGUUGGCAUCAUCGUGGACAAGACCUUGGUACAAGAUGUUGUAGAUGUCAAGAGGGUAGGAGAUAGAAUCAUGGCAAUCAAGAUUGUAAUAGGACAAGAACUUAUCAAUGUGAUUAGUGCGUACGCACCUCAAGUAGGGUUGGAUACGAGUUCGAAGGAGAAAUUUUGGGAAGAUCUUGGAGACUUGGUGCAAGGAAUUGCUCAGACGGAGAAGUUAUUUAUAGGAGGAGAUUUAAAUGGACACGUGGGCAGGGAGACAGGCAACUAUGGAGGUUUUCAUGGUGGCCAUGGUUUUGGGGAGAGAAACGAGGAUGGGGAAGCUAUCUUGGAUUUUGCAAUGGCAUAUGAUCUCUUCUUAGCCAACACCUUCUUUAAGAAGAGAGAAGAACAUGUGAUCACCUACAAGAGUGGGUCGUCAAAAACACAAAUAGAUUUUCUUCUAAUGAGGAAAGGGGAUCGUAUAACUUGUAAGGAUUGCAAAGUUAUACCAGGAGAGAGCGUGGCUAAUCAACAUCGCUUGUUGGUGAUGGAUGUACAUAUCAAAAGAGUAAGACAAAAGAACAAGACUUGGAAGUGCCCAAGGACUAGAUGGUGGAAUCUAAAAGAAGAAAAACAAGCCAUUUUCAAAGAGAAGGUAAUCACCCAAUGUGUGUGGGAUAGAGAGGGGGAAGCUAGCCAAAUGUGGGAUUCCAUGGCUAGUUGUAUCCGAAAAGUAGCAAAAGAGGUAUUAGGAGAGUCCAAGGGCUUUGCCCCACACCAAAAGGAAUCUUGGUGGUGGAAUGAGGAGGUACAAACAAAGGUGAAGGCUAAGAAGGAAUGUUGUAAAGCCUUAUACAAGGAGAGGACUGAUGAAAAUGGUGAAAGGUAUAGAAAAGCGAAGCAAGAGGCGAAGAAAGCUGUCAGAGAAGCUAAGUUAGCGGCUUACGACGAUAUGUAUAAACGACUAGAUACCAAAGAAGGAGAGUUGGAUAUCUAUAAACUAUCUAGAGCAAGGGAAAAAAGAAGACAAGGGACCUAAACCAAGUGAGGUGCAUCAAGGAUGAGGAUGGAAAGGUUCUUGCUACAGAGAACGCGGUUAAAGACAGAUGGAGAGGUUAUUUUCAUAAUCUUUUCAAUGAAGGACAUGAAAUGAGUGCUUCUUUAGGGGAGUUGAGUAACUCAGAAGAGUGUAGAAACUACUCUUUUUAUCGUCGAAUCCGGAAGGAAGAAGUGGUUGUAGCUUUGAAGAAGAUGAAGCAUAAAAAAGCAAUAGGCCCAGACGAUAUACCAAUCGAAGUGUGGAAACUUUUGGGAGAGACAGGUAUAACAUGGCUCACUGACCUUUUCAAUAGGAUUUUGAAAACGAAGAAGAUGCCAAAUGAGUGGCGAAUGAGCACUUUGGUGCCUAUCUACAAGAAUAAGGGCGACGUACAAAAUUGCAUGAACUAUAGGGGUAUUAAGCUAAUGAGUCAUACAAUGAAGCUCUGGGAGAGAGUCAUUGAGCAUAGAUUGAGGCAAGAGACACGGGUUUCGGACAACCAAUUCGGGUUCAUGCCAGGGCGCUCAACCAUGGAGGCAAUCUAUCUCUUACGAAGAUUGAUGGAAAUAUAUAGAGAUGGGAAAAAGGAUUUACACAUGGUCUUUAUAGAUUUGGAAAAAAGCGUAUGAUAGGGUCCCAAGAGACAUUCUUUGGAGGAUUUUAGAGAAGAAAGGAGUAGUACGAGUAGCAUAUAUCCAAGCUAUAAAGGAUAUGUAUGAAGGAGCAAAGACUGCCGUAAGAACUCAUGAAGGACAAACCGAAAGCUUUCCCAUAACUGUAGGAUUACAUCAAGGCUCAUCCUUAAGUCCUUACCUUUUUGCGUUGGUAAUGGAUGAGUUAACACGACAUAUUCAAGAUGAUAUUCCUUGGUGUAUGCUUUUCGCAGACGAUAUAGUGUUGAUAGAUGAAACUCAGGAAGGGGUAAAUGCAAAGCUUAACCUUUGGAGAGAAGUGUUGGAAUCUAAAGGUCUUCGCCUAAGCCGAUCAAAGACAGAAUAUAUGGAGUGCAAGUUCAGUGCAAAUGGAGGCCAAAACGAGUUAGGGGUGAGGAUCGGAGAUCAAGAAAUACCAAAGAGCGACCGUUUUCGUUACCUAGGAUCUAUCUUUGCAAAAGAACGGAGAAUUAGAUGGAGAUCUCAACCAUAGAAUACAAGCUGGAUGGAUGAAGUGGAAGAGUGCAUCCGGCGUGUUGUGUGACCGCCGUAUGCCACUGAAGCUCAAGGGAAAAUUUUAUAGGACGGCAAUAAGGCCGGCGAUGCUGUAUGGCACAGAAUGUUGGGCGGUGAAACAUCAACACGUACACAAAAUGGGUGUAGCGGAGAUGAGGAUGCUUCGUUGGAUGUGUGGGCACACGAGAAAGGAUAAGAUUAGGAAUGAGGAUAUCCGGGGUAAAGUAGGAGUAGCCGAAAUUGAAGGAAAGAUGAGAGAAAAUCGGUUACGGUGGUUUGGACAUGUGCAAAGAAGGCCUACUGACGCUCCGAUUAGAAGAUGCGACUAUGGGACAGAGGUUCAGGGCCGAAGGGGUAGAGGAAGACCUAGGAAAACUUUGGAAGAGACUCUAAGAAAAGACUUAGAGUACUUGGAUCUAACGAAGGAGGACAUGACACAGGAUCGAGCACAAUGGCGUUCUAAGAUUCAUAUAGCCGAUCCCACUCAGUGACUUGGAUUUUCCAAGUCUCCAACCGAGAAGUUUUCCUCACUCGGGAAAUUAAGGGAACACUACCCCAACCUACAUGCUCCACUCAGAAAGCUUCAACAUACAAGCUUCAACAAAAGAAAAUUCAAAGAACUUAGCGAAGAAGGCUUUGGUGUAUUUAACACAAUACGUUGAAAUGAAGGAAAGCUUAUUUAUUGAUAUCCCCGAUAAGCUACAAAUAUGUACAUAUACAUGAGUCAAAAUAAACACAAGAGGGAGCCUUCACAAAGGUUGCUUAGGAGAAGUCUCAGCAGUCGGUAGAGCCCCAGAAAGAGAAGGCACCGGAGGGGGAUCAUUUGGAGCCUCAGUACUGGACAGAACCCUAGAAGGAGGAGGCAUCAGAGGUUGAUCAUUUGGAGCUUCAUUACGCGGUACAGCCCCAGAAGACGAAGGCAAUAAAUGCCUUUGGAACAAACCCACAAAUCUCUGAUGAUCAAGUAAAACCUGACCAUCAGUUUCCUUCAUCUGGUCAAGCUUCCUCUUCAUGUUUGUAGCAUAGUCAUGUGCGAGCCGGUGCAACUGUUUAUUCUCAUGCUUGAGCCCUCUAAUCUCCUGUUUGAGACUCAUCACUUCAGCCGCCAAUGAUUCAACUUGGCGGGUUCGAGCAAAUAGGCGUUGGGCCAUAUUAGACACAGAACCUGCACACUGAACACUGAGAGCCAGCGAAUCCUUAACAGCUAACUCAUCAGACCGUUUGGAAAGUAGUCUGUUAUCUUUGGGAGUGAGAAGGUUCCUGGCCACCACCGCAGCGGUCAUAUCAUUCUUCAUCACGGAAUCCCCAACGGUAAGAGGACCAGUAGGGGAGACGAAGGAUGGGCGCCAUAUGUUGUCUGGAGAAGGCGGGGCUGCCUCUUCAACAAGGUUCAAGUCAAAACGACGGUCGGAGGGGCCAGACAUUUUCAAAGGUGUUGAAGAGAGAAGAGGUCGGACAAAUCAAGAUCUUAGAAGUGCAAGAAUGAAGCUUCUACUGGUGGAGAUUCAAGUGUGCUUUGGAACUUAAUGCCAGCCCCUAUAUAAAAAUCUGCACUCGACGAAGCUUUAGAAAUCGAAGAGGCGCCUGCUCAGAAAUCGAAGAGGCGUUUGCUUUCUCAAAAGCUGGGCUGCUUAGAGAUCACGAGGGUUGAUCUCAGAAAUCGAAGAGGUGUUUGCUUUCUCAAAAGUUAGGCUGCUCAAAGACCACGAAGGCCGAUCUCAAAAAUCGAAGAGGCGCUCGCUUUCUCAAAAGCUGGGCUCCCCAGAGACCACGGGGGCCGAUAUCAGAAAUCGAAGAGGCACCUACUUUUCCAGCCUUUUCCAGCCUUGUCAGCACCUGUCACACGCACACUCAGUUUUGCGGAAAUUAUGGGCAUUCUGUCAAAGACUUCUGGGGAAGUAGAAAACACAUGAAUCUUACUGUUCAAUCACCCACUUCCCACACGCAACAAUAGCUCAUGGGUACCACAGAUAACUUUGCCAAAGUUCUCUGCCAAAGUUGAGCACGUGAAGCUUGCAGCUCCUACUACAUCGCUCUGACCAAGAAGGGUAAAAGAAUAGCAAAGAAACAGCACUAACAAAGUUUAGACCCAUAAAUUUUGAAGGUCUAGCUACCAUAUUAUUACCCACAAGGGUAAAGGAACAGUACCACUGCUGGAUAAUUGGAAAGUCCCUGUGUGUCAACCUCUGUGCUUCGUGGCAAGGUAGACUAGCAAACAUGCCCAACCUUUACUCACAUUCGAGAAAACACUCCCAAUAAGAUUGCUUGCUCCAAAAUCGAAGAGGCACCGUCCUCCGAAUCUCGAGAGCCAGACUCCCAACAUGACUACUUUCUUAAAAAUCGAAGAGAGAGGGUAAAGGAACAGUACCAUUGCUGGAUAAUUGGAAAGUCCCUGUGUGUCAACCUCUGUGCUUCGUGGCAAGGUAGACUAGCAAACAUGCCCAACCUUUACUCACAUUCGAGAAAAACACUCCCAACAAGAUUGCUUGCUCCAAAAUCGAAGAGGCACCGCCCUCCGAAUCUCGAGAGCCAGACUCCCAACAUGAUUACUUUCUCAAAAAUCGAAGAGACACUGCUCCCCGAAUCUCGAGAGCCAGACCCCCAGCAUGAUUGCUUUUUCAAAAAUCGAUGAGGCAUCGUUCUCCGAAUCAAUCGAAGAGGCGCUCGCUUUCUCAAAAGCUGGGCUGCUCAGAGACCACGAGGGCCGAUCUCAGAAAUCGAAGAGGCACCUACUUUUCUAGCCUUGUCAGCACCUGUCACACGCACACUCAGCUUUGCAGAAAUUAUGGGCAUUCUGUCGAAGACUUCUGGUGAAGUAGAAAGCACAUGAAUCUUACUGUUCAAUCACCCACUUCCCACACGCAACAAUAGCUCAUGGGUACCACAAAUAACUUUGCCAAAGUUCUCUGCCAAAGUUGAGCACGUGAAGCUUGCAGCUCCCACUACAUCGCUCUGACCAAGAAAGGUAAAAGAAUAGCAAAGAAACAGCACUAACAAAAGUUUAGACACAUAAAUUUUUGAAGGUCUAGCUACCAUAUUAUUACCCACAACUGUAAAGGAACAGUACCACUGCUGGAUAAUUGGAAAGUCCAUGUGUGUCAACCUCUGUGCUUCGUGGCAAGGUAGACUAGCAAACAUGCCCAACCUUUACUCACAUUCGAGAAAACACUCCCAAUAAGAUUGCUUGCUCCAAAAUCGAAGAGGCACCGACCUCCGAAUCUCGAGAGCCAGACUCCCAACAUGAAUACUUACUCAAAAUCGAAGAGAGGGUAAAGGAACAGUACCAUUGCUGGAUAAUUGGAAAGUCCCUGUGUGUCAACCUUUGUGCUUCGUGGCAAGGUAGACUAGCAAACAUGCCCAACCUUUACUCACAUUCGAGACAACACUCCCAACAAGAUUGCUUGCUCCAAAAUCGAAGAGGCACCGCCCUCCGAAUCUCGAGAGCCAGACUCCCAACAUGAUUACUUCCUCAAAAAUCGAAGAGACACUGCUCUCCGAAUCUCGAGAGUCAUACCCCCAGCAUGAUUGCUUUCUCAAAAAUCGAAGAGGCAUCGUUCUCCGAAUCUCGAGAGCCAGAUACCACAGACCACUUUUUCAAAGUGCUCUGACAGAGUUAAAACAUGUGAAACUGGCAGCUCCCACUACCGUGCUAUGACCAAGCAGGGUAAAGGAAUAGCAUUACUACUUGUUGUUAGGGAGACUCCUAUAUAUGUCGACCUCCAUCCCCAACGGACAGGCAGACCUGCAAAAAUGCUCAACCCUUCAUCAUAUCUGAGAGGGCACUCCCAACGAAGCCUUUCGAAAUAUUCAGCUUUCUUUCCCCCCGAUAAUACCUCUGCAAACAAGCUAUACUAGAGCAAGAAUAUCUCAUAUCAUCAGGGUUAAAAGCAAGAGUAUCCCAUAUCAUGCUUUUUCCCUGUCUUUUCUUUUUGGCCUUGUUUUUACCUGCAAGACAAGGAGAAAGAGAGCAAUCAGUCAGCACUUGGAAUCAAGCUUCCAGCCAGGAACUGACUGCCUGGAACCCCUUACCUGAUUACUUACCUGGCAUUGCUCUCGAGUACUCAUCUUCAACAUCUUAUGUUUCCAGGGAAGAUUCCGCAUCUGCUUGAGGAACAGAUAGGGCAAGUGCGAAGGAUACAAGGAAGCAUGUGGAGACAAGCGUAACAGCACACGUGCCGAUACAUUCAUUACUCUGUCAAAAGCAAAAGUAUCCCAUAUCAGCAGGGUGGAACGUACUCUAGAUUUGAUGGACUUGUUUUGACCCUCAAAUUCUUCAGUCGGCCUUAUACUCUGGAGAAAACCAGAAAACCCUCCAGCUCAGUUCAAGAAUAAGCCUGUGGAAAGUUACUUCUUCAAAAGCAAAAGUAUCUCAUAUCAUCUCUUCUCAUUUUUCUUCUCUUUUAUCCUUCAUGCUGCUGCAAGAUGGGGAGAAGGUGAACAAUCAGUCGGAGCUCUGAUUGCUUACCUUGUCUGUCACCUCUUUCAGCAGACCCCUAGCUCGGCGACUUGGGGGACUCCUACUACAUGGUUUGUAUCGCGCUUGACCAAGCCUGAAACUACAAGUAAGCUUCAAGUGAAAUUGAUACAUUACCUUGUGCAUCUCCACCAGUUAAAGAUAUCCACCCCUGGAUGGAGGAAGAGUACUUCCAGAGAAGAUGCCACAUCUACCUAUGAGACAGAUAAGGCAAGUCAAGACGACACCACACUCCGAUACUUAGAAGUUUCGUGAUUACGAGAUCAUUCUCCCACAAUAUUUCCUAAUGUCAUUUGUACUAAAAUCAUUCACUUGUACUCACUAAAUGAGAGCUUGAACCUAUGUACUUGUGUAAACCCUUCACAAUUAAUGAGAACUCUUCUAUUCCGUGGACGUAGCCAAUCUGGGUGAACCACGUACAUCUUGUGUUUGCUUUCCUAUCUCUAUCCAUUUAUAUACUUAUCCACACUAAUGACCGGAGCAAUCUAGCGAAGAUCAUAAAAAGCGAUCGUUUUCGCUACCUAGGAUCUAUCUUGCAAGAGAACGGAGAAUUAGAUGGAGAUCUCAACCAUAGAAUACGAGCUGGAUGGAAAGAGUGCAUCCGGCGUGUUGUGUGACCGUCGUAGGCCACUGAAGCUCAAGGGAAAAUUUUAUAGGACGGCAAUAAGGCUAGCGAUGUUGUAUGGCACAGAAUGUUGGGUGGUGAAGCAUCAACACGUACACAAAAUGGGUGUAGCGGAGAUGAGGAUGCUUCGUGGGAUGUGUGGGCACACGAGAAAAGGAUAAGAUUGGGAAUGAGGAUAUCCGAGGUAAAGUAGGAGUAGCUGAAAUUGUAGGAAAGAUGAGAGAAAAUCGGCUCCGGUGAUUUUGAACAUGUGCAAAGAAGGCCGACUGACGCUCCGGUUCGAAGAUGUGACUACGGGACAGAGGUUCAGGGCCGAAGGGGUAGAGGAAGACCUAGGACAACUUUGGAAGAGACUCUAAGAAAAGACUUAGAGUACUUGGAUCUAACGGAGGACAUGACACAAAACCGAACGCAAUGGCGUUCUAGGAUUCAUAUAGCCGACCCCACUUAGUGGGAAAAGGCUUUGUUGUUGUUGUUGUUGUUGUUGUUGAUUAAGCAUUAAUAUCAGCAUAAAGAAAAAUUAUUUUCUAUUUUUAAUUUGGAAAAUAAGACCUUUAGCAUAUUACUUCAUAAAUAUGUGUAUUUACUAUUUAUGCGUGCAUGCAUAUGUUUGUCUUUAUACAAUUUCAUGAUCACAUUGUACACUUCUAUGUAUCAUGUCUACCCUUUAUACACAUGAAAUAUCAUAUACAGUAAUUGCUUGUCAACACAUUCAUUAGAGCUUUACAAAUCGUUUAUCUAAUUUCUGUUUGAUAAGAUACAACAAAUUUAUCAGAAUAAAAUUUUGAUAAAAAUAGUGCACAUUAAAGCAAGAAGAAAGUAAGUUUUAAACAAGUGUCUUCCAACCUAUAGAAAGAGGGCUUCUCAAAAUUCCACCCAAAACUUUAACACUGAAAGCCUAUAAUAAGGCAACAUACAUUAUUCUACCCCUAAUUGCUACAAAUUCUUGAUGCUUGACCCAUAGCAAUUUUUCAGUGUGCAUCUCAAUAUUAACUUAGUCUUCAUCAUCCCAAGUCCUCAAAAAUGUAUACGCAAAAUAUGAGAAGUCAAAUGAAGCAAAACAAUAACUAACUUCGCUGCACAUAACAAUCUGCUCCAUAACUUAACCAAUGCAUAUGUUCAUCCAAAAGAAAAUGAUGCAUCUAUUCACCAUUCUUUCUACUGUUAAUUCACCAUUUACGAUAUAAAGAAAGGUCUGACUCACCUUCGAAGAAAAUUACUAGUGCUAAAUUUUUCAUAAGCUUUGCCCAAGGUAAAAGUUAACUUUCCUAGGAACCAGUGGAUUCCAUUAAAUCUUUAGGAAAAAAACUGAUAGAGUGACAACCAAUCAACCUUCAGAAUAAAGAGUUCCUACAAAAGAGUUCCUCAAAAUAAUUAGGGACCAAAGCCAUUAUGACUUGUUGCUCUUGAUAUGCAAUGGGUUUCUAUUGAGCACUUUCAUUUUGGGUAUUGUUGGUUAGAGACCAAAAGCUUGCAGCUCACUAAGAUAAAGUAAACGAGUAAACCAAUAUAUUGGUGGCAAUUGAUGUAUCAAAUGGUAAGAAUUAAUCUGACAAUGUGAAAAGGAUGGUGAUUUUCACACCCCAUUUACCUCCCGCACACUCUUUCGAUUUUUUAAUAUCUUUUUGCUCUUCCAUCACUUUGUCUUUAUUUUAGAGGUGGGCCUUCACCAAGAGCAAACAAAUAUUAAAAUUUUGAAAAUGUGUGGGAAGUAACAUGGGGUGUGAGAAAAUCACCACCCAUGUGAAAAAAUUAAAAAUCUUGUUAUAAUGAACCCAGUAGUGCUUAUUCUAGAACAGAAAACAAGCCAACAAACUUUGGUUGAGUACCUUGUGGGAGAAUCCUUGGUCAGAUGUCUUCCGUCCAUAUCCUUAGCAUUCUUUCUAACAUCCAAAUUUAGGUCCCCGAGCUUAGAGCAAGGUUCAAAGUCAGCCGCACAAUUCCUAGUUUUACUCAGAGAAAUGAUAUAAAUAAAUGACAACCAAAAAAGGUCCACAGAUCAAUAUCCAGAGUCACCGAAACCCUUGUUGGGAAAAACUACGGCAAAAAGUUUAAGCACUCAGAGACAAAGUACAACACAGAUAUAAUAUGGUUAUUACCUAUCAUGUGACAGAGUAGCUCCUUCACUAGUUUCAUCACAUGAUGACCUUGGGGUUGAAACAACACUUGUACAUUGUUGAACAUCAUCAUCUUCGUCGUCUGUCCCCAUAGAAGUAUUCUGAUCAUAAGUACAUAAAAUGAUGAACAUAAGAGGAACUUAAUGAUAAAUAAAAGGGUAAAUCGCCAAAAUGGUCCCUGAGAUUUGCAUAACUUAUCACUUUGGUCCCCAAGAUUCCAAAUCGAUAAAAGUGGUCCCUGAGAUUGUCCACCAUCCAUCAUUUUGGUCCUUCCGUUAAGUGUCCCAGAGCUCUUGGCCAGAAGUUUGGGCAAUUUUCAAAGCUUCGUAACUCAAUCGUUUCUUAACCAAAUUCGAUCCAUAAUAUAUCAAAAUGAAGAUAGGAAAGUGUAGAAUAAGAUUAUACCUAUUUCGAAGCCCAAUGGUUGCCGGAGAUGGCCGGAAAAUAGCCUCAAAGUUGACUGGUCCGAGCGAAAACUUGAAAACUCGCCGGAAACUGGGUAAACUUUAAACGUUCGUAACUUCUUCAAUACUCAACGAAAUCAAGUGAUUCAAAAACGAAAAUCAUACUUCUCGAUGAGACAAAGAGAAUGGUCUAGGUACCAUUCUCUUUGUCUUGUCGAGAAGUAUUUCUCUUUGUCUCGUCGAGAAGUAUAAUUUUCGUUUUUGAAUCACUUGAUUUCGUUGAGUAUUGAAGAAAUUACGAACGUUUAAAGUUUACCCAAUUUCCGGCGAGUUUUCAAGUUUUCGCUUGGACCAGUCAACUUUGAGGCUAUUUUCCGGCCAUCUCCGACAACCAUUGGGCUUCGAAAUAGGUAUAAUCUUAUUCUACACUUUCCUAUCUUCAUUUUGAUAUAUUAUGGGUCGAAUUUGGUUAAGAAACGAUUGAGUUCCGAAGCUUUGAAAAUUGCCCAAACUUCCGGUCAAGAGCUCCGGGACACUUAACGGAGUUUUUAAUGGAAAAUGAUGGAUGGUGGACAAUCUCAAGGACCACUUUUAUUGAUUUGGAAUCUCAGGAACCAAAGUAAUGAGUUAUGCAAAUCUCAAGGACCAUUUUGGCGAUUUAGCCUAAAUAAAAUAGAAGGGGAAAAAAGAACUAAUGUCACAUUGGAACACCACACCACCAAAGUUUCUCAUGCUUUACAAGAUUCUGUAAGAUCUUAUUUUCAAGUGUAGUCAAGGCUUCUUUAGGUAAAGUGACAGUCAGUACAUGCAACAGGAUUCAUACAUUACUACACAUCGUGAUUGAUCCAUAUCCUGGUCAACAACAUUGUGAUAUCACAGUUCCAACAUUUUUUCCCAGAACCCCACAAUGUUUCCAAUAAAACAGCUAGUAAGAAAAUCCGAAUCAGACUAAAAGAAGGUAUAGUUGAAAUGCUAAUUAAUGAUAAUAACACGUAAAUAUCUAUCUGACGUAAUGACUUUUAAUUUUACUCUAAGAGACUAACCAUGUGGAGAAUCUUAUUGAAAGAAACUUGUAAUGACUUUUAAUUUCAAUCUAAGAGACUAACCAUGUGGAGAAUCUUAUUGAAAGAAACUUGUAUCAUUAAUUUAUCAAAGCAAUAUUAUUUCUGAGGUUAAGACUAAGGGCCUAGGUAAGGGAACUUUUGUUGAGUACUAACAUAGUGAAUAUCACAAGCAAAACUAGUGCGAAAAAUAGUCACCAAUUCGAGAUAAAUUUUUUAAAUGAACCUACAAGAGUUACAGUGAAUGUGCUAUAAAAAGGUUAGAUUAGAAUUUGGUUUUUAAGAACUUCACAUAGGCUGUCUCGUACACUUGUGAUGUAGACUCAAGUUUUCAAACCCAAAGCGCACAAGUUUGCAUUAAUAGGCAAGGAAUUUAUAGUCCUACAUAUUGGAACUUGAAAUCAUGCACCAACUUUAUCUUCUUCUUCUCGACUGAAGCCCUUUACCUAGUGCAAGCCAGAGACAAAAUAAAGUAGUAGUACUGAACCAUUUGUGUUACUUAUAACCUUCUUCUUCUCCGUUGAAACCACUGCUCUAUACCUUUUAAGGAUAACAUUUUCCCAAUUAUUCCAUCAUUUCUCAAAGCUAACCAUGGUUAGGGACAUUAUGAGUCAGAGUAAUUAUCAAGGAAGUCAUUGAUACCCCAUCCUUCUUUCCCACUCGCGAUUACUACAUAUAUGAACCUUUUGUGGCUUUAAAAGGAAAUAUAGUAUUCAUCCAAAUAAUUUAAAUUUUUUCUGGAAAAUAAUGAUUACGUGAAUGCAAGUUGUUGCAAACAAUCUAAAACGUGGCUUUUUAUAACAACAGGAAAUAAACUAAUACUUGGUUUAGCACUGGGACUCAAAGAAACUCUAGUUCAGAACAAGAUUCCAAACAUAAAAUACUGAAGCAAAUGAUGCGGAAUACCUCCAUGAAACGGAUAUGAUACACGGGCCGCUUCUCAGGGUCUUUUGCCAAUGCAAGAAGCUUUUGAUGUAACAAGACAUCUUCCACUCUAUCCAAGUUAACAUCAAGUCCGUAACUGCGCAGAAAACAAAAUUAGUAAAAUAAAUAAAUAAUGUAGAAUUCAUAGAAUUAGGUUCAUCAUCCUCCACAUCUAAAGAAAAAUGAAACAUUCAUGCUAUGGCUCUUAUGAAGUUUUACAGUGGAAAAUAUCUUGGAAAAUAUAGUGAAUACUUUUCCCAGUAAGGUUUUAAACAAAGCUUCAACAUAACAUAAGGUCUGGAAAGGUUGGCCUUGAAAUAACAUUUCUUGACAGACCUAAGGAAAAUUUUGUGCCUCCUGGAAAGGUACUUCCAAAAAGAAUUGACUGCGAAGUGCGGAACUAAUUUCAGUCCAUACACACAUUGCAGAGUUUCAAUUGUAAACCUUUACACUAGUCACAUGGUCAAACCGACCAACUCUUACAGAAAUAAUAGGCAAGAAAACAACACUCAAACAGCACUGCCAGCUCAAAAAAUAAUCAGGUCCAUACAGAACAAAUAUUAGAUCACAUAACCAAUUUGAUAUUCAAACAUAUGCAUAAACUUAUUCGUGCUCAAACAUUAAAAACUUCACUGAUACUGCUCCGAAAGCAUAUUAACUCAAGAAAUCAAUCAUGUUGGGAUCAUCAUUUGAGACUCUAAGAGCUUCAUAAGGGUUCGUACUUCAAUAAUACGGUUCGUACCAUAAUACACCAAUCCCAAAACUACGGAGCACUGGUUAACCAAAUAUCUUCGAAGACCUACUGAAGGGUUCAUGUUGAGACACCCCUACCUAAGCACAUGAGUUUCUCUCCAACCAGGAGCCCAAUCACAAUGCUAAAGCUUCUAAAGUCCCACAUCAACCACAGACGAAAUAGGCAAUUCUCCUCAACUAUAAAAGGAGAUUGUUCUCCCACAAUUGAUCCCUGAUGAUCUUAUUUUGCUUAAUCCACUAUUAGAACUCACUAAGUAAUGAUUCUGUCUAAAUCCUUGUAUCAUGUAAACUCUCUCUACAUUAUUUAUGAGAACUCCUCCAUCCGACGUAGCCCAAUUUAAGGUGAACCAUGUAUGAUUGCUGCCCUUUUAUCCCUUAACUCUGUACAUACUCUCAUCACUAGGUGACCGAAGCAACUUAGCAAGGAUCGCAUAUUGACACUCUACGUUAUUCCAAAGUCAACCCAGUUUUGUGCAUCAACAAAUACAAUAAUGUUUUGUUCUGAAAAAACUAAUUCCAGAAAUAAAUCAAUGGCGGAAGUUCGUUAAAAUUAAAGAAUAAAAAGAAAUGAAAUGAAAAACAAUCUUAUAGAGGAAAGCGAUCGAAGGGGAAUACCUAGGCGGCAAGCGGUUGAAGUGACCGUCCAACUGUUCACGGAAUUCGGGCAGAGUCAGAGCGUCUUCAUGGCCGCUCUCCACCAAGCGGUUGUAGACAUCGUUUCGGACAUCGUAGUUACUGAAGCUGACGAAGCUUCUCGGCGGCGACGAGCUCUCUCCGACGCCCUCGGUCAAAUCCAUAGGGGAAGCUCAAGUCAGCAGGUUUUCCACGAAAAUACAGAAGAGAAGGAGGAGAAAGCGAGCUCGGAGAGUUGUCAAUGAUAAGCAGAGGAUCUUUGACUGUUGGUGGAAUCCGGGAAGAAGACGAGGAUCUGUUGGGGAUUUCGGGCGGAAAGCAGAGGGCAAUUUCGUCAUACAAAAUCACUGUAGCAUCGUGAAGUUUCUCGAGAGCGAAGGCUAGUUUGGAGGAGAGAAUGUCAUGGUUGGAGUGAGUGAGUAGAGAGACAAAAGAAGACCUCCGUCUCAGCAAGAGAAAACUUUUUCCAUUUUUUAAUUUUUUUUUUAUAUAUAUUAUAUAUCAAAUAAUGUGGAUUGGAUAUGGUUGAAAAUGUGGGACAAUAUAAUAAUGUUUUGUAGUUAAGAAAACGCCUCGGUUUUUGAUAGAUUUUUUUUCAAUGUGAUCGUAUAUACGAAACGGUAUGUUAUAUGUUGUUGUUAAAGUAAAAUAAAAUUUUAUUUUAAAUUUAUUCUCUUAACUUAUAUAAUAAUUUAUGAUAUAUGUAACCGCGUUUUGGAUAUAUUGAAAAACCACUCUUAAAUUUUGGGCACAAUUUCAUGUGAGUCACAUCAUGUUGUAUAGGAGAAAAUAUGGCCUGCUGUUUACAAGUAAUCACAUAAAAAAGCUCAUACCAUAAUUAUGACGCAAUUGUAUAUUUAUUCUUUCUCUAAUAAUGGAUUCUCAUUUUGUAGAGAGGGAAAUGUUAAGGAGACUCAUAGUUUUUUAGGAUUGUGUUAUUCACACAUCCUGUUUAUCUUUCACAUAUUCCUCUUAGUUUUUACAAUCGGACCGAAUUAAUUAAAAAAUAUUAAAAAACAGAAAUUAACAAAAAAUGUGUAGAAAGUAAAAAUAAGAUGUGGAUAACACCACCUUUUUCUUAUUGUGAGUAGCAUAUCUAAUCACUAGAAGCAUUAGAUAUAUCCUAUGGAAGUUGAAAGCAAGUGUUCUGUUUAUAAGUGCUUACAAAAUUAUUUUUUAUUUAUUUAAUACGAAAAAGAGAUUACAAAGUAGAAGUGCUUAAGAGAAUAACACACCAAAACGAUCAAAAAGCAUCUGGCACAUAUAAAGGUACCAUUAUUCCACAACUGAGAAACGUGGAACUUUAUGUCCUAGGGCGUCCGCUACAAAGUUGACCACGAAGAAAGGAAUGAGAGUCCGAAUGUCUUUGAGUAAAGUAACGAGCGUCCAUGGAAGUUGAAUAUAGUGUAGACAACAAUCAUGACAUCCCCUUCAACUUUGACAUCUCUCCACCUAUGAGUGAAGGAUAGAGACACACUUUGAUCCAGAUAUCCAGGUAGACACUAAAAUUGAGGCAUGUUGACUAACAUUUAGAAGAUCACGAAGUCAUAACAUGUAAAUAAUGUGUAGAUUGUAUAAAUAAAUUAAAGAUUAUAAAUGCAUGUAAUGAAAAGAAGAGUAUCUAAUUAUACACAGCCAAUAUUCAAAACAUAUAGGUAUGUACACGCAAUUUAAAAUUAAAAAAAAAAAAGAUUCUGGAUUGUACUUAAAAGUAACAUUCGCCUUAAAACAUUCAUAAAUUCAUGAAAAUAUGACUUGAGCUUCUCCUAUGGACAUGGAAGAUAUGUUUGGUGAUGCAUUAGAGUAUGAUCCGCAUACAUCUUUGCAUAUAAAUUGGCCAAGAUAGGAAGUCUUUGACGGAUUAUGCCGUUUACCGCAGUAGACUUCGAGUUUUAGAAGACCAUCACACUCUUUGUAAUGGUAUGGUCAAUCAGAUGGUCGAGUAAAGAGUCACUUAAUUAAUAUUGCUUGUUCUUAUGUUCCUUUAUUUUUAUUUUUAUUUUUGAAGUCGGGUAUGAUUUAAUUUACGUAAUUGUUUAAUUUUAUUUAUGUAAUUGUGUGUUUUUAUGUAAUAGUGUGCUUUUAUUUAUAUUCUCAGUAUAACAACAAGUAUAAGCACGAAGAUAAUUAUCAUUAAGAAUAUUGACAUUAAAUUACAUAAAAGCAUUGAGUAAAUAGCAAUCAUAAAAAUAUUAACAUUACAUGAGCAUAAAAGAAUUGAGUAAAUAUAAUCAUAAACGUCACUGUACGUGGCAACAUGCUGCUAGUUGAUGAUUCAGUGGUUAAGGACGGAUUACAAGGCUUUCUUCAAACUAAAAAUUGGAGGUAUCGGGUCCGAACCUUGCUACUGGUGUGGACGCUAGACUUGUGACCAGGAGGAGGCUAAAAUGUCUCUGUAAGUCUUCCCGGCCCUUGAAAGAGAUGGAUAACCGUAGCUUACCAAUUGUUAUCCGCUCUAUAACCAACGGGGAGCUCUCCGUAGCUCGUUUGACUUCAGCAGUGAAUGAAUCAAAUAUCCACGUCGAUCUGCUUGAGGUAGCUAGAUCACCCUAAUCUAUGGAAGUUUAUUAUUUCCAAAUCUAUCUACGAUUAACCCCCAAUAUUUUCAAACAUAAUAAUACUUAACGAAGUGGAAUAAAAAUAAAUAAAAUAAACUUUGAAUUUUGCUACAGAUACUCGAGGUGUACAUAUACAAUAUGUGGACAUAUAUAUACCUUGACGAGAAGCUUGAGGCAAAUAUCAUCAGACUGGGCUGCAGAGCCCUUGGUCGUUUUGUUCUUAUUUCUGGCAAAAAGAUCAACCUCCUAUACAUCAGUACAUACAAUAUUAUUAAGUAAUAUACAUGCAAUACAAAAACGAGAUAGAGAGGGCGCUUGGAGCGCAAUUGCUUGGUUGCUGCUAAUGCCGAUGAAGCAAAGGUUUUUAGAAGCUUUAUAGAAUAAUGGAUAUAAUGGAACUUGAUGACAUAUGUGAGAAUAUGAUGAACGUUAUAUUUUUGAAGCUCUUUUUAUUAUGCCGACAAAUAUAUUAAUUUAUAUUUCUGAAAUGGUUUAUAGUGUGAAUAUUGUAGAGUAAAAUUUUGGUGCAUCUGAAAAACCAUCACGUGUUAUUAUUUCAUUCAAAACUAUAACACAUGUAUUUUCUUUUUUUAUUUAAUAUUCCUAAAAGACUAACAUUUCAACUAUGUACCAAAGCUACGGAAGUUUGUAGUUUCGAAUAUAUUGGUAGCUAAAUCACCCAACUCUACAACUUCAUUGCUUCGACUUUCUUUUGGCUAACAAAACGCCAAGCCAAACGACUUUGGAUAAAUCUUUAUCCACCUGCUAACCAAUCAUUUAUGCCCAGCUCUACCAUAAGAAGGAGAGGUUGUUCCGAAAGAGAUUUGCAAAAGGUUUUGUUCCAAUAAGGAUACUACUGUUCAACUCUCCACGAAGUUACACACAAAAAAUAAUAAUAAUAAUAAUAAUAAUAUGCACUUGUGAGAAGUGCCAACACUGUGCCACGAUCCCACACAUUCAUGUUAAACCUCUUAGAAGAGCAUAGGACCAGGUUGACGUAAGGAACGUCGCUAAUCAAGACGUCUCAAAUUACUACGGUUCUAGAGUCAACGUCUGCUCUUUAAAACUAUGAGACUAGGUGUUGAAGAAGAAAAUAUCAAAUAAACAAGACUCAAUUGUGAGUACACUUGACAUGAAUUGGGACAGACCAUACGAGAUCAUUGACAUAUAUCGCCCAGGCACAUACAUACUUAAAGAUGGCAGAACACAUGAUCAUCCAUGUAAUGUUGAUCAUCUAAAGUAUUACUACAAGUAGACAGUUCAACAUACUUAGUGAAGAGUCAAUUCAGACAAACUUUGUCUCAACCUGACACCUUAAACAAUCGUACUUAGCCAAACUUUAAAACAAACCAACAUUAUAACUUAAAAGCUCAUCCAUACAUACCUCAAUGAAGUUUAAAACCACCUUCAAAAAGGAACAUGAUUCAUAAGAGCAUCAACAUAAACUUUAAACAUGAUAAAAAUUCCACGAAGACAAAUCCACAAGGUAUCCAAGUCAAUGAUCAAUCAUAUUUAAAGCCAACAUUAGUACAUAAUUUUUUUAUUUUUAAAGUCAACAAGAGAAUACAACCUAAGUUUAGGACGCAACAAUCAACAUUCUCAUAAUAAAACUAAGAGACCACAAAUUCAUUCUCAAAGCAAAGUCAAGAUGCAAUAAUCAUCUUACAAAACCAUUUUGUUUUUUUUUUUCAAUAUAUUGAAUGAUGAGGUGUAACAACCCGUCCCAAAUUUUACAAUUUUAUAAAUUUUAAAAGUGUGAAUUGAUGAAAAUGCCCUAGAGGCAAGGAUUUUGACUUCCGUUGACCAUCAAUUUGAGAGAUGUAUGACUUAUUCUUUUAGCGUAAUUGUGUAGUACUCGUUAGUACGAACGCAUAGGUGAAGACCGUUUGCGAGUCUGAAUUAUAAUGGUAUAGAUAGGGACAUUUGAAAUUGUGUUACUAAACUAUAGAUUUAAAUUUAAUUAAGCUUCCCUCAAAUGUAUGUUAAUUAUGGGACCAAUUAGAUAAAUAUUUGAGGGACCAAUCAGCAUGGGUAACGAAAAGGGGAUCAGCCAAUCAGAAAAAAAAAAAAAAAAAAAAAAAAAGAGGGAGGGGGGUGGACUCCCAACUUUCCCGUGCACCCUUGAACCAUCCCGAUUUCAAAUCGGCGAACUUUCGCCAGUUUUUUGUUGAUCACCACCAUCCAUCACCUGCAACAUCUUUCACAUCUUCCCCUCUACUAUUUCCACUCAAAUUUGGGAUUUUUUUUAAGGUCAAAACCUUGUAAAACUGUGAGGGGUGGCCGAAAGUGUUCCACGGCGAUUCUGCCGUUCCGGCGAGUUUCACCACUCAUCACCACCUCUAAUCUACUCCCCUUGGACCCAGGAACAAAGCCCAAACAACCUUGGAGGCGUCGGAGCACCGGUGACGACGAAUUAAAGCACACCCAUUCUAGGGUUCUGGUGGGUUCGUGGAAAAUUGAGGCUCUUCCAGGUCAAAUUGGCCUUGGUCAUAGGUAUGAAAGUUGCUCCACUCAUUGAGAUCUUCAUUUCUGUGAAGUUUGAGAAUUUUUAGAAAUAGUUGGAUUUUCCGACGAGUUGGGGUGGCCGACCACCACCCACUGCGGCGCGUGCGGCGGCACGUGGCCACUUUUAGGCUAAAUUAGAUGUCUUGAAUUCAGUUUUGAUAUUCGUAUAAUGUAGGUUGAUCGUUUGAAUCUAAAUUCAUUACGAUACGUUAUUUGGUAAAAAUGUGAAUCGACGAUCCAACCGUUGGAUCGUCACUAAACUUUAAUACAUUCUAGUACAUAAUAUUUAAGGACCAUAGAAACUUACGGAUUAGGAAUCUGAUGAACAAAUCUUCCUGAAUUGGAUUUGUAAGUUUAUAAAAUAAAUGUUAACCGUCAUUUAGUUUUGGCAAUUGACGGAAGUCCGACCGUUAGAUCGUAAUGAAAUUUUAGUAUGUUAUUCUAGAAGCAUAAUUUGGAUCUUUAGAAGUUUCGGAUUGGAAAUCUGAUAUGCGGAUCUUCCGAAGUGAGUUUACAGGGUUGUAGACCCAACCGUCGAUCUUUGAUCGACGGUUGACUUAUGGUCAAUGGGUCUCAAACUAUUUUAGAAUGUCCUUGAGAAUGUGUUUUAUGUGAAUUACAUAUUCUAUUGAUAAGAGUUAUGAGAUGUGAUUAUGUAAUUGUUCUAGGCGCCAAUUAUUCGAGACGCCUCAAUGCAAGUGCUAGAGAAUCAUAGUGUGGACUCUAGGUGAGUGGGUCUUUUCCUUUUAUCAUAGGUAUAUAAUUGAUAGUUCCUCAAAUGCUUCUAAAGUGAAUUAUGCAUGUUACCUACAAUUAAUUAUUGUGAACUACGAAUGGCUUAAUCCCUAUUUAGGGUACAUAGGCAGUCUAACGAUACGUUAGAUGCAGCCAUACAAUAAAUGAGACUAACUAACUGAGACAAUAGUCUUGUUUAGGGAAUUGAGUAAUGUGAGGGACAUUGGUGGAAAAUAUAAGAUUUAACUUUAUGAUUUGGUGUUUAAAUAUUGGUCAUAAAUCAAUGAAUGAAGAAUCAGGAAUUUGAAGUAAGGAAACGUAAGUAAUGAUGGUUAAUUAAACUAGUAUCUAGUAGGGCUUACCAUUGAUAAUUAUCUCCGAAAAUAAGUAGUUCGGGAGUAGGGCGUUAUAGAUUAUGCAUUUCACACCAUGUUAUAUAUAUACUUGAAAAUACUAUGUUAUAGUUGAGUUUUAAAUUGCAUCAUGACAUAUUUAUAUGUGUAUCACCUAAACCUAAUUAUUGUGAAUGCUUCGAAGUGCCAAAUGAUGUUGCGGACGCCCAGGUAAGCUUCAGGUGAGUACACGUUGAUGAUAGUGAUGGUAGUGAGAUAUGUGAUGAGAUAUUAAUUGGCUAGCAUGUUGAUGAGAUAUUGAUUUAGCCGUACAGUUCACGUGAGGUGACUCUGGCUAGUAUAUUGAUGAGAUAUGUGAUGAGAUAUGGAUGAUGAGAUAUUGAUUUAGCUGUACAGGUCACAUAAGGUGACUCCAGCUAGUAUAUUGAUGAGACAUGUGAUGAGAUAUGGAUGAUGAGAUAUUAAUUGGCUAGCAUGUUGAUGAGAUAUUGAUUCAGUCGUACAGGUCACGCUAGGUGACUCCGGCUAGUAUAUUGAUGAGAUAUAUUAAGAGAUAUAAAUAAAGUUGUACAUGUCACUAUAAGUGACUCUGACUUAUAUGCUAGCAAUGAUUAAUAAGAUAUAUGAGGAGAUAUAAAUAAAGCUGUAUAGGUCACUAUAAGUGACUUCGGCUUAUAUGCUAGGAACGAUUAAUGAGAUAUGUGAGGAGAUACGGAUAAGUUGUACAGGUCACUAGAGGUGACUCCGACUUAUAAGCUAGCAUAUGUGACGAAUAUGUGAUAAGCUAGCAUAUGUGAUAAAUAUGCGAUGAGCUAGCAUAUGUGAUGAAUAUGUGAUAAGCUAGCAUAUAUGACGAAUAUGUGAUAAGCUAGCAUAUGUGAUAAAUAUGUGAUAAGCUAGCAUAUAUGAUGAAUAUGUGAUAAGCUAGCAUAUGUGAUGAAUAUGCGAUGAGCUAGCAUAUGUGAUAAGCUAGCAUAUGUGAUGAAUAUGUAAUAAGCUAGCAUAUGUGAUGAAUAUAUGAUAAGCUAGCAUAUGUGAUGAAUAUGUGAUAAGCUAGCAUAGGUGAUGAAUAUGUAAUAAGCUAGCAUAUGUGAUGAAUAUGCGAUAAGCUAGCAUAUGUGAUGAAUAUGCGAUGAGCUAGCAUAUGUGAUGAAUAUGCGAUGAACUAGUAUAUGUGAUGAGAUACAGGUAAGUCGUACAGGUCACCAUAGGUGACUUCAACUUGGGUACUAGCAUGAGUUAUUAAUCACAUGAUUAUUUGAUAUUGCUAACGAGAUGCUGUCUUGUGGUAUAUUUAUGAUAUUUUCUGAAAAUUAUACAGGUGUUGUAGCGAGGGGUUAUAAUGUUUUAAAUGGUUUCUAUUAAAAUUUAUUCACAGGGCUACUCACCUUUGUCUUGUCUUCACCCUCCAGGUUUUAUUAGCUGAGUUUUCUUAUCGUUGAAGAUUCGUGGCGGUUCUUGGUAUUGAAGAUUAUUUCGAGGGUACAAUUCUUAAUUCACUCUUAUGUACUUGCUUAUGCUCUAACAUUACGUGUGAAGUAGAUUCAUUCCCGCUCACCGGUGUACUCUGGUAUUUAGGCACUCUUAGGUUUUAAAUUAUUCACAUUUUUCCACAUCAUCACACUUUAUGGAUUCGUCACCUUCCAGGUGUCGGCCAGCACAGUUCGAUUCGGAGUCCUAGUAAACAUUCCGGGUCGGGGUAUGUUAUGAGGAGUGGCUAGGUUAAAGUUGUGGGGCAAUAUGUUAUGAAAGAAGCAGAAGCGAGAAUGUCAACUUGAGUAACAUAAACAUUGGUGAUGGGUUCUCCAUUAAUUUUCAUUUCUUCUAUGCAACGCGGGAUAGGUCAACAUGGUAGCUUGAUAUAGAAGAAUAUAUUUUGUGUUUUAGAAACAAAUUUUUUGUGAGUCACGUCGUAUUUUAUACAAAAAAAUGUGGGCCAUGAACUGCUAUUUACACAUAAUCACAAAAAUAAAUAAAUAAAUUCAUGCCAUGAUUAUGAUGUAGCUCCACAACUAUAAGCUUAUCUGGGAUGCAUUCUGAUAAGCUGACGAACUAGUGUACACAAUUGUAUUUUCAUUUGUUCGAAUAACUGGAGUUGAAUUUUGUUUAGUAUUAUCAUGUUUAUUUUUAUUUUUAUUUUUUACCUUAAGUAGCAUAUCCGGUUACUAGAAGCAUUACACAUAUCUUAUCUAUUUUCAUGUAAUGAGAGUGUGAGGCAAGUGUUUUGUUUAAGAAAAUGUUGAUAAGACAACUUUAUUUGGUACGGGAAAGAGAUUACAAACGAAAACACCUAGGGCGUAAUAAAGGGUAGAACUUGCAUAGGAAAAUUCUAUUCGAACCAAAAAGUUAUCAAAUAUUCUAUCCAAUUUAAAUAUGAAUCCAUGAAGUUUCGAAAUCCGAAAAAUUAAAAAAUACUGGAUAAGAACAGGAAUACAAUUUGCAAUUUGUAUAACAAUCUGUCCUUAAUUUUAAGAUUUUAUUAAUUUUAAAUGUGUGAAUUAAUCAAAAUGUUCUUAAAGGUUAGAUUGUUGACUUUCGUUGAUCGUUAUCUUAUAAUACAUACAAGCUACUAUUUUACUGUAUUUGCAUAUUACUCAUUACUACGAAUGUACAUGAUAAAGAUUUUACGAAAUUACGAAAUCAGGAGGUAUUUUAGCAGAUUCACUAUUCUGGAUAAUUUUUUCCUUAUUAUUUUAUAUUUUUCUGGUGGAAUUUUGUGUCUUGUGGAACCCAUACCCCACUUCUUCCUUGUCCCCGUGUCCCAUUUUCGCCAUACUUCUUGGUCUCUCUCAUUUCAAUCUCUCUCUUUGCCUUGUCACUCCAUCUCUUCUUCUGCCACCUUACCACCACCUACUCUCUCUCUCUAAAAAUCUCUCAUCUCUCACUCUCCAUUUAUUUGUCUCUCGGCAAACACCGAAUGGGUGCAAUGGCAACGCCAUCAUCGCCGCUAACCUUGUUACCCUGACGAGAUUUACGAGUUUUCCAGCCCAGAAACUAGGAUCUCAUACUGCCAACUCAACCCAGACAUGAACUUGC
rnacentral:lncRNA from 1 species